CCCCCCCCAAAAAAAUAUUGCAGGAGUGACUGCAGUGUCACAUGUGCAUCAGUAGGUGACAGAGAGGAGUGAAGCUAUGUUUAAGUUCAGUGUUAUGACCUAAGAAUAUCUGAAUGAUUAAUAGCCUAACAUU